GUGAAGAUAAAAUGGAUUCUCUGAGGACGGGUGAGUAACACGUGAGUAACCUGCCUUAGACAUUGGGAUAGCCUCGGGAAACCGGGAUUAAUACCGAAUAAAAUCAUAGGUGCACAUGCACUAAUGAUCAAAACUCCGGUGGUCUAAGAUGGACUCGCGUCCCAUUAGCUAGUUGGUAGGGUAACGGCCUACCAAGGCGACGAUGGGUAGCCGGCCUGAGAGGGUGAACGGCCACAUUGGAACUGAGAAACGGUCCAAACUCCUACGGGAGGCAGCAGUGGGGAAUAUUGCACAAUGGAGGGAACUCUGAUGCAGCGACGCCGCGUGAACGAAGAAGGCUUUCGAGUCGUAAAGUUCUUUUAUAUGGGAAGAUAAUGACGGUACCAUAAGAAAAAGCCCCGGCUAACUACGUGCCAGCAGCCGCGGUAAUACGUAGGGGGCUAGCGUUGUCCGGAAUCACUGGGCGUGAAGGGUUCGCAGGCGGAAAUGCAAGUCAGGUGUAAAAGGCAGUAGCUUAACUACUGUAAGCAUUUGAAACUGCAUAUCUUGAGAAGAGUAGAGGUAAGUGGAAUUUUUAGUGUAGCGGUGAAAUGCGUAGAUAUUAAAAAGAAUACCGGUGGCGAAGGCGACUUACUGGGCUCAUUCUGACGCUGAGGAACGAAAGCGUGGGUAGCAAACAGGAUUAGAUACCCUGGUAGUCCACGCUGUAAACGAUGAGUGCUAGGUGUCGGCGUAAGUCGGUGCCGCAGUUAACACAA
rnacentral:rRNA from 1 species